GGCUGUGUGUAUCACUCCAAUAGAGCGUCUCACCAACGCAGCCUUCUGCGCCCCCUUCUUCACCCAAAAUUUUUCCUUCUCUUUCGCCAUCCGUGCCUCCCUGCCAUCGUAGCAGAGCCAAGGCCUCGUGAGCGCAUAGGUGCAUACACGGGAGGUUUCCUUUAUUAUUAUUUUGUGUCUUUUGUCUCUGCUUUGCUUUUUCUACGACUCCUCAUGACGGAGGACAGCCAAGGUGCGCAAAUCGCCAUCAACGGCUUCAUCGGCUCCAUACUCAUUGUAGUGGGCUCCAUCACCUACGUUCUCUGGGCCGUACUGCCAGAUGACGUGCUGCACCGGCUGCACCUGACCUACUACCCGGAUCGCUACUGGGCCGUGGCCAUUCCGGCCAUUCUCGUUAUGUUUCUCUUCCACUACUUCACCACGUCUUGGCUGCUGGUGCUUGUCACAACGCACCCGUUGACGGAUGGCCGGUGCAUCACGGACGUGGACAGCAAGCCGGACAAGGAGAUCGAGGUCGGCGCACUGGCAGACUCUAGCAGUAGCGUGCCACCAUGGGUGGAUAUUCCAGUGUCGGUUGCAAGUCACCUCUUGUUCGAGCCGUGGAAUGAGAAAGUGCGAUACAACGCGCCAGGUCCGACGGAGAUGAUGAAUGGAGAAAACGGGAGGAGGGGGCGGUUUGUCUGAGGGGUGCCCAUGUGCGGGGCAACAUGUGUGUGCUCGCAUUACGAGCCGCUACAGGUCACCCGCGCAGCUCGUCGCGUCUGCGUUUACGUGUGUUGCGUGGUGAUGAGUUUACGCCUCCAUCAACCUCUGCUCCGCGCUUCAUUGGCGGUUGCAAUGACAGCUGCUCACGUCACGUUCUAGGCCGCAGCGAAGUGUGGUGUGCGUGGUGUCCGCCGUAAUGGUGGUCGCCUGACAGAAAACAGAAGACAACAAAAGGGAUCGCCGUCAGAAGAGGUAAAAGGGCAGACCAGCAGCGUGCGUCUUCUUGCUAACUCGCUCCUGGUCGUCGCGCGCGUGCAACGUAUGCGCGUACCCGAGUGGUGUCGGUGUCGAACGCUUCUGAAGUUUAGGGAUGCCCGCCGCGCUGCCUCCUGGAAAAGGACGAGAAGGGAUGAGGGAGGGAAGGGGAUGAGGAAGCGUGUAUCGAACAUGACGGUACACGACAACGCGACCUUUUGUCCUGCUAAUAUGUGCCACAUCCGCCCAGCGCUUCCGUGCGUCACGGCGCUUCAUCUGAAUUUUCGUUCAUGCACACCGUCCCGUCACUGAUUGAGCACACGCACACACAAGCUUGUACGCGCGCAUUCACGAAAGGUACUCUGGACCUCCCCCCCUCCUCACCCUUCCCCCAG
rnacentral:misc_RNA from 1 species